rnacentral:rRNA from 1 species
AUUGAACGCUGGCGGCAGGCCUAACACAUGCAAGUCGAACGAGCGGCGGACGGGUGAGUAAUGUCUGGGAAACUGCCUGAUGGAGGGGGAUAACUACUGGAAACGGUAGCUAAUACCGCAUACCAUCGGAUGUGCCCAGAUGGGAUUAGCUAGUAGGUGGGGUAAAGGCUCACCUAGGCGACGAUCCCUAGCUGGUCUGAGAGGAUGACCAGCCACACUGGAACUGAGACACGGUCCAGACUCCUACGGGAGGCAGCAGUGGGGAAUAUUGCACAAGGGGCGCAAGCCUGAUCCAGCCAUGCCGCGUGGGUGAAGAAGGCCUUCGGGUUGUAAAGCCCUUUCAGUGGGAAGGCGGUACUCGAAGAAGAAGCACCGGCUAACUUCGUGCCAGCAGCCGCGGUAAUAC